AAAUGUCUUCAAUGGAUGGCUCUACGUGACUUUUCUUGGCUUAUAAUAGACCCUAUUAUUUUAUACUCUAACUUUUUUUUUUUUCCUUUCAAUAUAUUACUUCUAAGCUUGACUACACUGAAGCUCAUCUAUCACACUUUGGAUUACUCAGCCUAGCAAGCUGCCAUCUGCAAGCUGGAGACCCAGGAAAACUGGUGGUGUAAAUCAGUUGGAGUCCCAAGGCCUGAGAAACAUGGAAGCCCAGGGCAGAAGAUAGAUGCCCCAGCUCAAGCAACUGGACUUGCCUCAUGGGUGUGUCGUGGUGGAAAUAAAAGUGUAAAGGCAAAAACGCCGAAUGAUGACACUCAACCCUGAAACAGGC